rnacentral:tRNA from 1 species
GGUUUCUUGGCUCAAUCGGUAGAGCGGAUGGCCUCUGUCCAUCAGACCUGAGUUCAAUUCUCAGAGAGACCA